UACGUAGGUGGCAAGCGUUGUCCGGAUUUACUGGGCGUAAAGAGCGCGCAGGCGGUCUUGUAAGUCGAAUGUGAAAGCCCCUGGCUCAACCAGGGAGGGUCAUUCGAUACUGCUUGACUCGAAGGCAGGAGAGGGAAGUGGAAUUCCGGGUGUAGUGGUGAAAUGCGUAGAUAUCCGGAGGAACACCAGUGGCGAAGGCGACUUUCUGGCCUGUUCUUGACGCUGAGGCGCGAAAGCUAGGGGAGCAAACGGG
rnacentral:rRNA from 1 species